CUCUGUAAAAGAAAAAGGAAAAACCCAAAUCAACAAAAAAUCAGAGAAAUAAUUGAGGAAAUGGAUUGGAUGAAUGGGAAGAAGAAGAAAAGGGGUUUUGUAAAACAGACUGUUUGAAGUGUUGAGGGUAUGUUUUGUAGUCGACGGGAUUCCAAUUUAAAAGAAGGUAGAGAAACCAGUCGAAGGUGAAACAGAGUUCGGAGAAGAAGGCGAGAAGCGAAAGGAGGGCAUGGGAUUGGAGGUAAAGGAGACGGUAAAGAAGAAGGGAAAUGGCGAGAAUCAAAAUGAGAAGUUCAACAGAUCUUUGUAUGGGUUUUUUGAUGGCCAAUUUUUGGUAGAGAGGGAAGGAAUUGGACAUUGUUGAAGAGAUUCGGGUGAUGAGUUUAGUGUGUAAAGUUGACACCACUAUUUUAUAGUCUCAAACCAUGAAAUUAUAAUAAAGGUUUUGUAGAUAUAGAGAAACAUUCAAUAUUUGGAGCAGAGGUAUUAGAUAAGUUAACGUGAUUCACGUUGGUUUGGGUGAUUUCGAGAAGGGUGUUUUUCAAAAAAAAAAAUGGAAAAAAUAGGUGUUUUCAAAAUUAUUAGGUUAAAAUGAUAGAUUUUUUCUAUAAAUUAUUAUUUUUAAAUUUAUUGUUAUUAUUAUUAUUAUUAUUAUUAUUUAAUUAUAAAAAAAAUAGUGAAAUAAUAUAUCUAAGUAAGAAGGUAAUUUUAUUGUUUAAUUUAUUUAGUUUUUAAUAAAAUUAAUUUUUCUUUAUCAAUUUUUGAAUGUUCCAUUUUGUUAAAAAGAAAACUAAUAAUUUUAAAUUCAUGAAAAUUAAAAAUUAUUUGUUAUUAAAAAUAAAGAUACAGAUGAUGGAAGGAUAAAUUGAAUAAUAGGGUAUAAAUCAAUAAUAACCGAUAAACCAAUUUUAUGUAUACUUGUUUGAUUGAAGAAUAAAAAGUAAAUCAACUUUUUUUUUUUAAUUUUAUAAAAAUAGUUUUACAAAAGAAAUUAUUUUUAUGUGAAUUUUAUUAUUUUAAACUUUUAAUACUAUAAGCUUAUAGUUUCAUAUUACCUUUUACAAGUUGAAAAUUUUGCUUACAAGUAUAUAUAGAUACACAAAUAGAUAGAUAGAGCAAUAAAAAUAUAUAUAUAUUAAAAAUAAUAAAAGUAAUGAUAAUAUUUAAUGGUGGAAGAUAUAAAAAUUGAUAACAUAUUUACAUUCUAUUACUUUUACACUUUAUUGUUUAUAUUAUUUAAUGGCCCAAGGUAUGUUUAGUGUUUAUAUAUAAGAGAUUUUGUGUUUUAGUUAAUUUUUAGAUGUUUAAAUAGUUUAUCAAUUGUUGUGUUUUUUUUCAAUCAAAUUUAUUUCAAUUUUGAAUAAACUAAAUUUAAUUCAAAUUUUCUUUUACAAAAUAUCAAAUCAUUCUCUCUCUCUGUUAAUGUUUGAUGUCAUAUUAUUAUUUUGUUUUUCUCAUCUUGAUGCAUUUGUUCCUAUAAUGGUAGUUAUUGUCAACUAAUUCAAUUUAUUCCACUUAAUUCAAUAAAUCAUAGAUAAAAAACAAUAUAGUUUUAGUCUAUAAUUAUAGAAAUGUGUAAAUUAUAUUUAAAUUAAUUAUAAUUGAUUAUCAAUUUUAGUCAUUAAAUCAUCCCGUAUAUAUAAUAUAAAAACAAAAGCUACACAAAUAAUCAUCUUCUAAAUUUAUUGAAGUUAAUUUGUUUGUUUUAACAAAAUAAUCUACAACACAAGAAGAUAAGAUAAAGAUAGUUGGGGUUCAAAUAUGUAUAUAUAUAUACAAACAAGGUCAUGUACUUUUUGAUAUUUUGUGACACAAUGUUGGAUGUAUUAAAUUUGUGCUCUAUCUUUUCCGUCCUUCUGGGCUACGUUCUCACGUGUCCGGGGUCCGAUGAUCAUAUCAACCCGCGAUCAUUGAACAAGGAAUUUUCUAGAAGUAAAGCUUGUAUGAAAAUGGCUUGUCUUCGACUUCGACUCUGCUGGUUGGUCCAUCCAUCAGCUUACCCCCCUUUAGUUUUUGGUGAUUUAAUAAUUGAGUGAAUGAGAGAUGACAAAUUCAAUAUAUAUUAUUCACACCAUACAUAUGUGUUCUUUUUUAUUUUGAAAAAAAAUAAUAGAUAAGUAUCUUUAACAGUUAUCUUAAAUUUUCAUUUGAAUAAGUGUGGACAUGAGUCAAAAUUUGAGUAAAUUGUUACGAUUCAACCAAGAACAAAAGUCGUAUAAUUUAUAGACUAGCUACGAAGCAAAGAUUUGAAUGAUUAGGUGAAAAAGUAGUCUUUUAUAUGUAAUAUUCUUUUCUUUUAGGGAGACAUAUACAACUCGAAAUAGAAAAUUUUAAGAAUUUUAUUUUCAUCCAAUAAGUAAAUUCAAAAUUAAGGUAAAGAAUGACACAAAUAUGAAAAUAAGGGUCUCCAUUCGAAAAAUUUGUGAAAAAUGUUGCAUGAUCCAUAGGUGAAGACAAACUAUGGUAAUUUGUUACAAUCUGAAACAUACACAGAGAUAAUGAUAAUUUCUUUUUAAAAAAGGACGAUGACCCCUGAAGGCCGCCAUCCACAAUAGACACAUAAAAAUGUUUUGACAUGGAAUGGACAUAUCCAUAUAUCUAUGAUAAAAUGUGGUAAAACUCAUACCAAAGAUUAGUUCACGUAGAAACGAAUGUACGCAUUAGCUCACAUAAAAGUAAGUGUAGAAUACUAAAAAUAUAUAGGCAGAGAGAACUUAGAAGAGUUUAAUAGAAUUGUUUGUAGUUUUAGUUUUAUACAUAUUGCUUAUUUCCUUGAGUAGCAUGCACUUUUUAGCCAUUUUUUUUUUUGGAUGUUAUAUUGAUUUUUUUUUAUAAGUGUGUGCUUUAGGAAGGAAUUUGAUUUAUGAGUUUAUUUACAUGGAGAAAUUAGAGAAUAUAUAUGUUUGUUGAUUUUAGUAACUCAUUUUAAUUUUGUUUGCAUUUCUUAUUUUGGUGGAAGACGGAAAAAUAAAAGCAAUAUAAAGGGAAGAACGUGUGAGAAUGAAACAAAUGAAAAUCAAAAUAAUCUAGAAAAUAUAAUUUAUAGGUUGCCUUUUACUUCUUUCCUCUUGCCUAUAUAGGUUAUAAAACCUUUUUUUCGUUGUAUAAUCUCAACCUUUUUUUUCUUUUGAAUAGAUAGUUGCAAAUUUAGUCAUUAGAUUCAAAAUAAUUAAGUAUAUAACAAUAUUUUUAAAAAUUUACAAAUAUAACAAAAUUUGUUAAAUUCUAUCAACGAUACAAGUCUAUCAUCGAUGGACUAUAUUGUAAAUAUUGGUCUAUUACUGAUAGAUCAUACGAGUCUAUCAACGAUACAUGUCUAUUAGCGAUAGUUUUGCUAUAUUUGUAAUUUUUUUAAAAUAUUGUUAUAUUCUUAAUUAUUGUUCCUCAAAUGACCAUCAAUUACAAUUAUUCUUAAAAGGAAUGAUGAAUGAUAAUGUAAAUUUAAAUAAAAAUUUGAAAUUACUCCUCCAUCUUCAUCUUUUGUUCAUUCAAGAAAUUGACAAACCACUUAAGAAGAAUUAUCCCACGAGGCAGUAAGUUUUGUUUUUUUGUUUAUAUAAUUAGUUUUGUGAUUGUGCUAAUUUUAUCUCACAAUCUUUGUUCUAAAGUAUCUCUUGAUUAAGAAAUUUCACCAAAUUAAAUUUUGUCACGUCGUCACAACAAGUGAUAAUUAUAAUUUUCUUGAAUUUGGGUAAUUAAGUUUUCUUGUACCCAACCAAAUUAGAUAUAAAAAUUGGGUCAAAUGAGAAUAAUGAACUUAAGUGUAAGUCUAAAAGGUAAAUGAACCCAAGUUUAAAACCAACAAUCAAAUAGACCCAAGUCCACCUAAAGCCUGAGAACUUUCCCUUCGUUUUGGGAUCUUUGGUUGAAGAAACAAUUGAAGCUCUAUUUUGGAGAAUUGAAGUACUCAAAUUCUAAAUGACUCUUAAGACGUGAAGUUCUUAUAAACUUCGAAAUUAACAUCUCCUGAAAGAUAAAACACUAGGAGGAUUAAACUUUAUUUAGACUUCAAGAAAUUGAAUUUUAAAUUGACUUGCAACUACAACAUCCUAAAGACCGAAUAUCAAGAAAUUCUAAAUAUUAACUUGUAUUAGAGAGAAAAUAUUGAUUGAGUAAAUAUUAGAAACCGUAUCCACUAUAUAAAUCAAUAUACAAAAUUCAAUUUCACGAAUUACAUUUAUCCUGAAAUCUCGUGAGAACAGUAUCAUACAUUUGAAUUGGAUGAAUCCUUCUAUUUUAAUUGGAUAUCAAUAGUUUAGAAUUUAAAAUAAUUUAGAAGUAUAUUUAUUGAAAACCAAACACUUUGGCUAAUAACUAAACUAAAUGACUAUUCAAGCAUACUUAAAUUUUAUCAUAAAAGUUAUGCUUUUUUUUGUAAGUCAAGUGCAGAUAUAUAUCUUCCUAAUGGAUAUAUGGGUGUUUGCUAUUUUUAUAAUAUUCGUGAGUAUUCCACAAUUUAAAACAACUCGACUGUCUAACCUUAUAAGAUUUGAACGUUUUAAAAAAACUUAUAAAAGAUUAAUUACUAAACAAAUGCAUGUAAUGAAUUGAUCAACGGAGUGACUAAAAAGAAAAUUUUGAAAUUUAUUAGAAAAGAUUAGCAAAAAUGUCAAACAAUAACAAUGUUUUAUUUAAAGAAAAAGAGUUGAUGAAACUAAUUCAAAGCCAUUUGUAGAAGGGCACAAAAAGCAGUAUCAAAGAAGCCGAUUUACAUAUGGUGGGGAAAGGGAUCCCAUAUUUCCCUUUAGCAAACAACCCUCUCAAAAAGGGUGAGAGAGUCAUUAAGACCCACACACAACCCAAAAUCUCCCCUAUCCCGGACCCUCGUCGUCCAUCACUAGACGAUGGUGGUUGCAAUAUCCCGGCCAACAAUUUCGAUCCCAAUGCCAUCAACUGCAAUAGCACCAUUGCUGUACCGAUGAUAAAUAGUGGCGAUUCAUUAAAAACAAACUUUCCAACGUUGCCAUCAUCGACAUUAUUAUUAGAUUGGCCUUUAGGUGUAACUUCAAACACGGCUUCUGAAAUACCAAAGAGCCUUAGAACAAGGCUCAAAAUUCCAAAGACACAUGAACUUGUAGUAGCGAUAAUUUCCAUCUUUACAUUGUUCCACCAUGCACGAACUGAUAAGCCGCAUUGAAGAUAAACACAUAUUGAAUGGGAGUGGUAAAGGAUAAACAUGGGUACAAACGUUGCCAAUAGAGCUGUGUCUUGGACCUAAACAUUUUACCAAAAACAUAUAUAAAACCAUAUAUUUUAUGUUGUAUAUACUUUUAAACCAUAUAGAAGUUUGUUUUUAUAUAUUCAAAUGAGAACUUACUGAAGGCAAGAAGUGAGAGUUGGUGAGGAUAGCAUAGGCAGGAAGAAUGGCAUAAACCAAUUGAGGAAUGGCGUAGAGGCCUCUAAUUAAGAAAUAUGUGUAAGCUAAGCAUUGUCUGAGGGUGAGCCGGGUUAAGAAAAAAGCUAAAAGUGGAGUAUUUUUACGGACCAUGAUCUCCAAACUGCCUGUUACCCAUCUCUUUCUUUGGGUAAGAGCAUCAGGACCACCAGUGGGAGCCAACCCCAAAAACGCAGGUGGGUUUGGCUGCAACAAUACGGACUUCCACCCUUUUGAAUGGAUCUUUAUUCCGGUCAGAAUGUCUUCUGUCAUUGACUCAUAAAGCCAACCCACCUAAAACACAGGUUCAAUUGUUUGUUACCUAAGAUUAUUAUUGGCUUUUAUGUGUUUGUUUUUAUUCACUACAAAACUGACCUUUAAACCCCAGGCAGUGUUAUUUUCGUAGUCGGCGCUGGCUACUUGAUAUGCGGAUUGGAUGGAAGUAGAAAGAUCUAUGGUCGUGUGAGUACGUCCGUUGGCUUGCACCCCUCUUAAUAUUUCAUUGGCUGACUUUGUCAACUCUUCCGAUUCUCCAUAAUUCUCCUCAAUUUUUCCUAAAAACAUAAUAUUACAUAUGAAUAUAUAUGAUCCUUCCAUUGUCUCAACAAAAUUAUAUACGAAAAUGUUACUGUUUCUAAAUUUUAGAGUCAAAUUCGUGAAUAGGUUUAUUCACUACCUGUUUUAUUCGGUGAACUAUUCAAGGUAUAAAUGGUUUUACGUCUAUGAAAGCAAUUACAUCCACAGUAUAGAGGACCUUGAAUUCCUGCCAUCCCACGUAACAAUGUCUACCAAAAUACCACAAAAAAAGAUAAGAACAAUUAUAAGAAAGAAGAAUAUGACAGUUUAGAUUAUUGAACACUAAGAGAGAAGAUUGAAUUACUUGGAAGAGGGUAUUGAGUUGACAACCAAAUGGAUCAUCUUUGGGUUGAUUGUAAAAUAUUUGAGGGAAUUGUACGAAAAUGCUUUCUUGCUCUUCUGCUCCGAGUAAAAUGCACAUAGCCUCAACCACAACAUUUGGGUUGUUGACGUACAUAUCGCAAUCUAUAUUCACUAUAAAUGGUGCAUUUGUCAUCACACCGGAUACCCUAGUCUUUUAUUUAAUUUUCAAUAACAAUAAAAAUCUCUUAGCAUCUAAUUAAGAAAAUGACCCCAUAGAUCUAAUCAACAACUUGUGAAAGAAAAAGUAUUUUGCUCUAAAAUUCUUUAUUACUCUGUUUUGAAAAAUGUCCCUACUUUAAAUUUGUUUUAUAGAAAUAACAUAAUGAUGUUAAUGGCAAGAUAUCCAAAGUGUUAAGUUUGGUAAACAUACCAAAACAUUCAAAGCACCAGCUUUGUAGUGAUGAGGUUGAUUUGGUCGUUUUUCUCUUGCAACAUAUACCAAAUUUGGUAUCCCAUUUGAAUCAUUCCCUUUGUUUUCUAAUAAAAUCUGCAAAAUUUCCUCAUUAACAAACUCCAUAAAUAUUACGAAUUAAAGAAUAGUAACACAAUCUAAUUACCUUAAUAAUGGUGGGAUGGUUCUUCUUGUCUGUGUUUCUAAAAGCUUCAUAGUAUUUAGAAGUUUCGUAUACCAUUGGGUUCUCUUCCGCAGCUUCAAUCUUCUCACGAAGUCGUUCAUAUUCAUCCUAUGUAUAAUAUAAAAAUAGAGGUCAUUUAUUAGUUCAUAUACUUUCAAGUUUACUAAAAAUAUAUAUAUACAUAUUGAAUGUGUGUACCUUCAUCCUCUUCUCCUCCUGUUGGAAUUCAUGGCCGGCGGCGGAUGGAGACUUACCGGAGAAGUAUCUAAACGGAGCUCUAACUUGGACGUUAUACUUCUUACAGAAAGGAACCCAAAUUCUAGCAAAAUUCGAGGCUUCAACAAGAGCGUAUAGCAAAACCGGAGAUCCCCCAUCGUCGGAGAUAUAGCAAGUAAGUUUUCCAGCCGGAUAAUCUACGGCCAACAGAGACAACACUGUGUUGGCCACCAUAACCGACGGCUCAAGCUUCCAAUCCGCAGUCGUCACCAACACGUCCACCGCAGGAACCUCAUGAACUCUGUAAAAGAAAAAAGAAAAACCCAAAUCAACAAAAAAUCAGAGAAAUAAUUGAGGAAAUGGAUUGGAUGAAUGGGAAGAAGAAGAAAAGGGGUUUUGUAAAACAGACUGUUUGAAGUGUUGAGGGUAUGUUUUGUAGUCGACGGGAUUCCAAUUUAAAAGAAGGUAGAGAAACCAGUCGAAGGUGAAACAGAGUUCGGAGAAGAAGGCGAGAAGCGAAAGGAGGGCAUGGGAUUGGAGGUAAAGGAGACGGUAAAGAAGAAGGGAAAUGGCGAGAAUCAAAAUGAGAAGUUCAACAGAUCUUUGUAUGGGUUUUUUGAUGGCCAAUUUUUGGUAGAGAGGGAAGGAAUUGGACAUUGUUGAAGAGAUUCGGGUGAUGAGUUUAAU
rnacentral:lncRNA from 1 species